GUAAACUACCCCUACCCUAAAGGGAUAGCGGCUUUUUAAAAAGCCGUAAUGUUUUAGAGUGGUAGCUUUUAAGAAAUCUUCGGAUUUUGAGAAAGUUUGAGUUUACCAGACUCAGGUAGAAGAAAUUCUACCUACGAUAGAUAGGUUAUGACACAAAUGAUUGCCGCCCCAGAUCAGCAUCGAAUGUCGCUUGUAUUUAAAAAAGGUUGAGGGAAGACCCAGUGAUAUAAGCUUUGAAGCCUAUUUAUCUUUGUCGAGGGGAAGUCGGA
rfam:Desulfobacterium vacuolatum DSM 3385 genome assembly, contig: Ga0002809_124